AUUGAACGCUGGCGGCAGGCCUAACACAUGCAAGUCGAACGAGUGGCGGACGGGUGAGUAAUGUCUGGGAAACUGCCUGAUAGCGGGGGAUAACUACUGGAAACGGUAGCUAAUACCGCAUACCAUCAGAUGUGCCCAUAUGGGAUUAGCUUGUUGGUGGGGUAAAGGCUCACCAAGGCGACGAUCCCUAGCUGGUCUGAGAGGAUGACCAGCCACACUGGAACUGAGACACGGCCCAGACUCCUACGGGAGGCAGCAGUGGGGAAUAUUGCACAAUGGGCGCAAGCCUGAUGCAGCCAUGCCGCGUGUAUGAAGAAGGCCUUCGGGUUGUAAAGUACUUUCAGCGGGGAGGCGUUACCCGCAGAAGAAGCACCGGCUAACUCCGUGCCAGCAGCCGCGGUAAUUC
rnacentral:rRNA from 1 species